UACGGGGGGGGCAAGCGUUGUUCGGAAUUACUGGGCGUAAAGGGCCAGUAGGCGGCCAACUAAGUCCGACGUGAAAUCCCAAGGCUUAACCUUGGAACUGCGUCGGAUACUGGAUGGCUUGAAUUCGGGAGAGGGAUGCAGAAUUCCAGGUGUAGCGGUGAAAUGCGUAGAUAUCUGGAGGAACACCGGUGGCGAAGGCGGCAUCCUGGACCAACACUGACACUGAGGAGCGAAAGCCAGGGGAGCAAACGGG
rnacentral:rRNA from 1 species